rnacentral:lncRNA from 1 species
CCAGUCGUUUGUCUUAGCCAAACUAUGUGUUUUCUUAUAAACCUCACAGUGACCGACUUCAUAACCAGCUUUUUCAUUCUGAUUGUCAUACACAAAAAAAUUAGAAUGAUAAAUGUAAAAUAUAUGAAAGAAAUGUUUUUUUACCAUUCUUUCAUGAGUGGCCACAACUGAACAAGAUCCACCCGUGUAUGGCAUGUAAUCUGGAUUGUUUGUCCUAUUUUCUGAUGCUUUUUCGGAUCUUUUUUUCCAAUCUUCUUUUAACCAAAUUUCUAUCAUUUCACUCCAUACUUCCGCAGAAAGGUAUAUCGGUGGAAAUCUAGCGCAAGAUCUGGUUAGUGUGUCAACUUUUGCCAAUUUUUUUGCCUCUUAUCUCGCUUUAUACAACCAACAUGUAUAAUUUAGUUGUACAUAAUUAUCAAAACAUUCACGAGCCAAUUGAAUGUCCUCAAAUGAGAAAUAGCACUACAUAAAGACAAAAACAUUACAUAUGGAAAAAAAUGACAUAUGGAAAAAAUGACAAAUAAAUAAAUCAUACCAGAAAUUUGACGAAAAUAUUUUCUUUUUCCUCUUCUUUCCAAGAAGUCCAUUUAGUUAAAGGUGACGUUAUAUUACCUUUUACUAAUAUUCCUAUUUGACUUCUUACAUUGUUUGUAAAAGUCCUAUAAAAAACAAUCAAAUUAAAUAAUAAAAUAUAAUGAAUUAUAAUGAAAAUACUCACCCGCUCUUAAGAAUAGUGGCGGGAGUUGGUGCAUCCGGUUGUCUCAAUCCUU